rnacentral:rRNA from 1 species
GCGGCGGCUUACACAUGCAAGUCGAGCGGUAACAGAGAUAGCUUGCUAUCUGCUGACGAGCGGCGGACGGGUGAGUAAUGCUUGGGAAUAUGCCUUUGAGUGGGGGACAACAGUUGGAAACGACUGCUAAUACCGCAUAACGUCUACGGACCAAAGGGGGGGAUGCUUCGGCACCUCUCGCUCAUUGAUUAGCCCAAGUGAGAUUAGCUAGUUGGUAAGGUAAUGGCUUACCAAGGCGACGAUCUCUAGCUGGUUUGAGAGGAUGAUCAGCCACACUGGGACUGAGACACGGCCCAGACUCCUACGGGAGGCAGCAGUGGGGAAUAUUGCACAAUGGGCGAAAGCCUGAUGCAGCCAUGCCGCGUGUGUGAAGAAGGCCUUCGGGUUGUAAAGCACUUUCAGCGAGGAGGAAAGGUUAGUAGUUAAUAGCUGCUAGCUGUGACGUUACUCGCAGAAGAAGCACCGGCUAACUUCGUGCCAGCAGCCGCGGUAAUACGAGGGGUGCAAGCGUUAAUCGGAAUUACUGGGCGUAAAGCGUGAGUAGGUGGUUUGUUAAGCAAGAUGUGAAAGCCCCGGGCUCAACCUGGGAACUGCAUUUUGAACUGGCAAAC